rnacentral:rRNA from 1 species
GACGAACGCUGGCGGCGUGCCUAAUACAUGCAAGUAGGACGCUGAAGGAGGAGCUUGCUUCUCCGGAUGAGUUGCGAACGGGUGAGUAACGCGUAGGUAACCUGCCUGGUAGCGGGGGAUAACUAUUGGAAACGAUAGCUAAUACCGCAUAACAGUAGAUGUUGCAUGACAUUUGCUUAAAAGGUGCAAUUGCAUCACUACCAGAUGGACCUGCGUUGUAUUAGCUAGUUGGUGAGGUAACGGCUCACCAAGGCGACGAUACAUAGCCGACCUGAGAGGGGGAUCGGCCACACUGGGACUGAGACACGGCCCAGACUCCUACGGGAGGCAGCAGUAGGGAAUCUUCGGCAAUGGACGGAAGUCUGACCGAGCAACGCCGCGUGAGUGAAGAAGGGUUUCGGAUCGUAAAGCUCUGUUGUAAGAGAAGAACGAGUGUGAGAGUGGAAAGUUCACACUGUGACGGUAGCUUACCAGAAAGGGACGGCUAACUACGUG